AGAGACUUAGGUUAAUGACUAGACCAAGGGCCUUCAAAGCCCUAAGUGGGGGUGAGAACCCCUCAGUCUCUG
rnacentral:tRNA from 1 species